GGGUACACAAAUCAAUUUUAGGGUUUCUCAUUCUCGUAGCAUUUUAUCCGCCCCAUAGAGCUGCUUUCUCUCCAGGCGAUUCAAAAGGAGAACUAGGGUUUCUCUUGGCGAAGCAAGAUCUGGCUUUCUCAAUGACACCAGAUCAAUGAAUCUCUCUCUAUACGACACCAAAUUGACUGAGUUUGAAGGUGGUGAAGGGUUCGAAUUCGAUUUUAGGGUUUUUAAGAUGCACAUCGCCAGAUCUAGGGUUACGAAAUCUUUUUUUCACCUCCUUUCUCUUCACCUCAUACCAUCACAGUUAGUGUGACAAUGAAUUAGGGUUUUCACUUUGGGGGAAACUUUGCAACAUUUUCAGAUUCGGCUGAUUUCCUCUCAUCAGCACCCGGAAGAAGUAUACUGCAAUCCUUGAAUCAAUUGUUCUUGCCUGACGUUGUAGGAAGGUGGAUACUACUCUAUCAAAUGGUACAUGUGCUCGAGCAGCUAUUUCUAGCGGCCUUUUAAAAGCCUGAAUGAUUAGAUAACGUGAUUAUUGCCUAUACAGUUGCUUUUUUUCUCCAGUGGCAAUACCUCAUUUGUCUCAAGAACUACUUUCUGACAGCUAAGAAUACAUGGUGAUAGAUACAUAUAAAAUCAUAGUUCUUAAAGCGAGCGCCCAGGCGCAAAUAAAGUCCCGGGCCCAACAAAUCGCUCUGAGUGCGCCUCACGCCUUUAAUCUUCAGGUUAGUUCAUAAUCUUCUGCAUGGGCAGGAAUUUGUUAUGUGUAUUAAAAAAAAACAUAUGAAUGAUGUUCUUGAGCUUGCUGAGAUGAAAAGGAGAGCAAACACAAGAAGUUUAAAGGAGAUGGCUUUGCUUUUGAGGGGUGGAUCUAAGCUAAUAUGGAUUGCAGCAAGUGGCGGCAGGGACAGGCCCGAUCCAAUCACAAAUCAGUGGUCUCCGGUGCCAUUUGAUGCCUCUGCUGUGGACAACAUGAGAUCCGCUUCAGAACUGCUUCAGAUCUGGAAAUGGUUCGAUUACUCAGGUUUAUUACGUUUUUAGAUUUCAUUUUUUUCAUCACGUCACAUGGUUACUCUGAAUUGUUUUGAAAGGCUUAGCCUGUGAAAAAAAUUUGCAUUCUGUCUCAUUCUUUCUGAAUUUAAACUCAAUUUAAGUGGAAAUGGUUCGAUUACUCAGGUUUAGAUUUCAUUUUUUUCCUGAUGUUACUUGAAGGCUGUUGGGUCGCUUACAGCAAAUGUGGUAAGUUCUGGUGACCUUUGAAUCAGUUAUAAUGCUGCCAUUUUGUAAGCAAUGCAGUUUUUUUCUUGCGGAUGCUAUUUUUGUUAGCGAGGAGCAGAUGUAAUAGAUGUUAUAGUCGUUUCUUUUGUAAUAGAUGUACAUUGUUAUUGACUUGUCCUUUUGUGAAAGAUGUACUAAAAUGUAUUUCGUGGUCGUUUACGUUUUCGUAUAUGUUGACUUUGGCUAA